AUUGAACGCUGGCGGCAGGCCUAACACAUGCAAGUCGAACGAGUGGCGGACGGGUGAGUAAUGUCUGGGAAACUGCCUGAUGGAGGGGGAUAACUACUGGAACCGGUAGCUAAUACCGCAUACCAUCAGAUGUGCCCAGAUGGGAGUAGCUUGUUGGUGGGGUAACGGCUCACCAAGGCGACGAUCCGUAGCUGGUCUGAGAGGAGGACCAGCUACACGGGAACGGGGAAACGGUCCAGUCGCCUACGGGAGGCAGCAGUGGGGCAUAUUGCACAAUGGGCGCAAGCCUUAUGCAGCCUUUCCGCGUGUAUGAAGAAGGCCUUUGGGGUGUAAAGUACUUUCAGCGGGGAGGCGUUAACCGCAGAAGAAGCACCGGCUAACUCCGUGCCAGCAGCCGCGGUAAUUC
rnacentral:rRNA from 1 species